ACAAGGAAGCCCAAGCUAGUACCUGCUCCAUGAACCACAGCCCCUGGAACCAAAGAGAGAUCAGCAGUACACUCCCUCCUCCUCCACCACCCCUCUCAGAGCCACAUACUGCACAGACAUGGCACAUCUGAAGCACUGCCAGCAGUUGUGGAGAGGACCUGUGUAAGGCCAGCUACAAUAGCUCCUGGAGUAAUAUCAUCCACUCCUGGACUGACGAGACCUAUUACAGUGGAAACUACACCAACCACCCCUACAAGUCAUGAUGCACCUCUAGAGACUGUCCUGGUGCCUGCGAUAGCAGACCGUGCACCAGCCCCUGCCUCUCUGCUAAUAAGUACACCAACUGUGCUGACACGGCCAAGCAGCCGGGGCUGCAGCAACAGUCAUGUCACCUCCUGGUGUCCUGUCUCCUGCAGGACUCAUCAGACGGUCUGAUCAGCCAGAGACAUGUUCUGACCAAUCAUCCUGAUAGACAACAACAAUCAUCCUGAUAGACAACAACAAUCAUCCUGAUAGACAACAAAAAUCAUACUGAUAGACAACAACAAUCAUCCUGAUAGACAACAACAAUCAUCCUGAUAGACAACAACAAUCAUCCUGAUAGACAACAACAAUCAUCCUGAUAGACAACAACAAUCAUCCUAAUAGACAACAACAAUCAUCCUGAUAGACAACAACAAUCAUCCUGAUAGACAACAACAAUCAUCCUGAUAGACAACAACAAUCUCCUAAUAAACCUGGUCAUGACUAAGGUGUCCUCCGUCCUGCAAUAAAUAAUCAUCCUUUGGUUAAGUUGUAAAAUGCAAUUAAGGGACAAUACUUACUCUUUCCCUUUCAGGUUUGUGGCUGCUUCUCUGCCAGUCGUAUAAUGAAAGCAAUUUCUAAACUGUUCUCAGGUGACGUAGGGCAAAGAACCUAUGGUAAAUUCUCCCCUGGCACCCAAUGAUCUUGGCAAAACCGUACGCACAGGGACAAAACUGAUGACUUCAUCUGAGGUGAGGGGGAGGGAUGAACCAACUGAUAAGAGGUCUACUUUUGGUAGGGUCCAACAAGGAAAAGUAAAACUUCACAUACAAUGGAGCCACCCCAACAGAGCCCAACGUCAGAAAGGAUGACCCCCGGGGGCCUCCCGGGUGGCGCAGUGGUUAAGGGCACUGUACUGCAGCGCCAGCUGUGCCACCAGAGACUCUGGGUUCGUGCCCAGGCUCU